GACUCGGAAAGGGAACUCCCUGACCCCUUGCGCUUCCCGAGUGAGGCAAUGCCUCGCCCUGCUUCGACUCGCGCAUGGUGCGCGCACGCACUGACCUGCGCCCACUGUCUGGCACUCCCUAGUGAGAUGAACCCGGUACCUCAGAUGGAAAUGCAGAAAUCACCAGUCUUCUGCGUCGCUCACGCUGGGAGCUGUAGACCGGAGCUGUUCCUAUUCGGCCAUCUUGUCUCCUCCCGUGGGCUUUUGGCUCAAUUCUGAAUAAACAGUGAACAUCCAUGUGGGAGCAAUGAGGAGGAACUGUAGCAUCUGAACUGGAAAUUCCCUGUCUCCCCUUAACCAGCACUGGAAGCAGAUGGGAAGAGAAUAGCUGUGACUGACUCACACUCUAACCCAGCAACCCUCAGCAUACAAGUGGGAGACCAUAAAGUUUUUCAAGACCCCAAAAGAGGCCAAAGGUCUGAUAAUUGCUGGGAGAAGGUCCACUAUCCAAGAAGAGAAGAGGAAAAGGAAUUAAAGUCUCCAAGCACUGGGGAUGCAAGAAGAGAGUUGCACAGGAGAGAAAGAAGAAGUUGUCCACGGGGUGACCCUGCAAUUGGAGGGAAAUGCAUGUGGAUAUGUGCAGGGAGUCUAGGAAGUGAAGCCUUAGUGAUCAUUUACAAGAAUGAGGGUUAGGUAAAAUAAGGGAUGCAAAGCCACCUGUAGUCUAUUCUAACCUCACUCCAUCACUCUAUACAAUCUGUGUUUUAUCAUCUGAAAUGUUAAGUAAAGACCUGUUUGGGUCUUCUUCAGAAUCCCAUACAUUUGAGUUCAUUAGUCAGAAAAAGGGAAAAUACCACCACCCCAUCCUGGAAUGGCAGUCAUGUACACUUUUAUAAUGAGAGAUUGGGCAGCAAAGGGGGCCCCUUGUGGACCUCACCCAGCCAGAGAAGGAGGCAGAAUGUUUCCUUUACUAUCUUUUCCUCUCCCCAGAGGAACACUACAUAUUGUUCCCUCCAUGGGCUUAAGAGAAGGUGCCAGGGUUACAGAUAGAUAUAUCGCUAGCUGUAGAGCACAGGGUGAAUUGGGAUGUCCAUGUACAAAGCUAGGGACAGGAGAAUCAGUUUAAAGACUUUAAAAAUAAUUAGGAAAAAAAGGAAGGCCUGACCCAAAGCUUAGGAGUGCAGGUAGAGAAGAGAUGGUGCCAUGAUAUACCAUGUCUCUGGGACUUUUCUGUAUUCCUCUUCCUCUGUAUACUGUAUUGCCCUCAUUCCCUAUUUAUUCAAAAUCUGUGCUACCUCCACUGCGAAGACUUCCACGAGAAAAUUCAGAUAUUUCUUCUUUUGUGGACACUUUCUACCUUACAAAUAAGUUAAUUUUAAUUCAAGGAAGAGUUUUUCCGGAACCCUGUUGGCCUGCUCACAGGAAUGUAAGUUCCUUAAAUCUAGGGCACAGUGUCUUUGAGAACUGCAAUCACCUACAUCAACAUGACAUAGCUAUUAGGACUAAGAACAGAGACCACCUGUGUCAACAUGAGUUACUAUUUUUUUCCGUGAAACAUUUGUCCAAGAAAGAUAAGACUGUAACCAAUAAAUAGUUUGCAAGUAA
rnacentral:lncRNA from 1 species